CAAAAACAUUGCUUUUUGAAUUAAAAAUAAAAAGUAAUUCCUGCCCAGUGACAAAGUUCAACGGCCGCGGUAUCCUAACCGUGCAAAGGUAGCAUAAUCACUUGCCCAUUAAUUGUGGGCUAGAAUGAACGGACCAACGAAAUAAAAACUGUCUCUAUAAGUAACAUAAAAAUUAAUCUCUAAUUGAAGAACAUUAGAUUAAAUCGAAGGACAAGAAGACCCUAUAGAGCUUUAUUUUAACUUAGGCCAAAAUCUAAAUAAAGAUUCGGUUGGGGCGACCAAGGACACAUAAAUCAUCCUGUUACCAAAAGACAAAUAAAUCAAAAAUUUGACCCUAGAAAUAGAGCAUAAAAACAAGCUACCUUAGGGAUAACAGGCUAAUCCCACUAGAGAGUCCUUAUCAAUAGCGGGGGUUGGCACCUCGAUGUUGGCUUAGGGAAACUAUGCGACGCAAAAGUCACAUAAAGAUGG
rnacentral:rRNA from 1 species